ACCCGCACAAGCAGCGGAGCGUGUGGUUUAAUUCGAUGCUACACGAAGAACCUUACCAAGGUUUGACAUGUAAGUGGUAGUGAUCUGAAAAGUGAACGACCCUUCGGGGAGCUUACACAGGUGCUGCAUGGCUGUCGUCAGCUCGUGUCGUGAGAUGUUCGGUUAAGUCCGCUAACGAGCGCAACCCUCACUGUGUGUUACAUGUGUCACACGGGACUGCCGGUUUUAAGCCGGAGGAAGGCGAGGAUGACGUCAAGUCAGCAUGGCCUUUAUAUCUUGGGCUACACACACGCUACAAUGGUCUGUACAAUAGGUUGCCAAGCCGCGAGGCGGAGCCAAUCCUUAAAGCAGGCCUCAGUUCAGAUUGCAGGCUGCAACCCGCCUGCAUGAAGAUGGAGUUGCUAGUAACCGCAGGUCAGCUAUACUGCGGUGAAUACGUUCCCGGGCCUU
rnacentral:rRNA from 1 species